rnacentral:rRNA from 1 species
UGGGGGGAAACGCCCAGACCCAUCCGAACCUGGAAGCUAAGCCCCCGCCAGCGUGGCAAUAGUGAGGUGGGAGACCCCUCGCGAAAGCCACGUGCUGG